GGCCAGCAGCCGCGGUAAUACGUAGGUGGCAAGCGUUGUCCGGAAUUACUGGGCGUAAAGGGCGUGUAGGCGGUAAAUUAAGUCAGACGUGAAAACUCAGGGCUUAACCUUGAGACUGCGUUUGAAACUGAUAGACUAGAGGAUCGGAGAGGGCAGUGGAAUUCCCAGUGUAGCGGUGAAAUGCGUAGAUAUUGGGAGGAACACCAGUGGCGAAGGCGACUGCCUGGACGACACCUGACGCUGAGGCGCGAAAGCCAGGGGAGCAAACGGGAUUAGAUACCCCGGUAGUCCUGGCCGUAAACGAUGGGUACUAGGUGUGGGAGGUAUCGACCCCUUCCGUGCCGGAGCAAACGCAAUAAGUACCCCGCCUGGGGAGUACGGCCGCAAGGUUGAAACUCAAAUGAAUUGACGGC
rnacentral:rRNA from 1 species